rnacentral:tRNA from 1 species
GCCGGGGUGGCUUAGUCGGUUAAGCGUCUGACUUCGGCUCAGGUCAUGGUCUCACCGUUUGUGAGUUCGAGCCCCGCAUUAGGCC